rnacentral:rRNA from 1 species
AACCCCGCCGUUAGUGCCAGCGGUUCGGCCGGGCACGUCUAACGGGACUGCCCGCGAAAGCGGGAGGAAGGAGGGGACGACGUCUGGUCAGCAUGGCCCUUACGGCCUGGGCGACACACGUGCUACAAUGCCCACUACAAAGCGAUGCCACCCGGCAACGGGGAGCUAAUCGCAAAAAGGUGGGCCCAGUUCGGAUUGGGGUCUGCAACCCGACCCCAUGAAGCCGGAAUCGCUAGUAAUCGCGGAUCAGCCAUGCCGCGGUGAAUACGUUCCCGGGCCUU